CAAGUCGAACGGCAGUAGAACCAGCAAUGGGACUAUGAGAGUGGCGAACGGGUGCGUAACGCGUAUGCAACUUACCUCCAACUGGGGAAUAGCCCUGGGAAACCGGGAUUAACACCGCAUAAGAUGGUAGAACCGCAUGGUUCAGCCAUUAAAGUUUACGGUUGGAGAUGGGCAUGCGUGCCAUUAGCUAGUUGGCGGGGUAAUAGCCCACCAAGGCGACGAUGGCUAGGGGGUCUGAGAGGAUGAUCCCCCACACUGGUACUGAGAUACGGACCAGACUCCUACGGGAGGCAGCAGUAGGGAAUAUUGGUCAAUGGACGCAAGUCUGAACCAGCCAUGCCGCGUGCAGGAUGAAGGCGCUCUGCGUUGUAAACUGCUUUUGUACGGGAAGAAUAUAUCGUUUGCGAACGGUUUUGACGGUACCGUAAGAAUAAGGAUCGGCUAACUACGUGCCAGCAGCCGCGGUAAUACGUAGGAUCCAAGCGUUGUCCGGAUUUAUUGGGUUUAAAGGGUGCGCAGGCGGCCUGAUAAGUCAGUGGUGAAAGCCCGUUGCUUAACAACGGAACUGCCAUUGAUACUGUCGGGCUUGAGUACAGUUGAGGUUGGCGGAAUGUAUCAUGUAGCGGUGAAA
rnacentral:rRNA from 1 species